rnacentral:rRNA from 1 species
AUACAGAGGGUGCGAGCGUUAAUCGGAAUUACUGGGCGUAAAGCGCGCGUAGGCGGUCUAUUAAGUCAGAUGUGAAAUCCCAGGGCUCAACCUUGGAACUGCAUCUGAUACUGGUAGACUAGAGUUUUGGAGAGGGAAGUAGAAUUUCAGGUGUAGCGGUGAAAUGCAUAGAGAUCUGAAGGAAUACCAGUGGCGAAGGCGACUUCCUGGCCAAAAACUGACGCUGAGGUGCGAAAGCGUGGGUAGCAAACGGAAUUAGAUACCCCAGUAGUCC